rnacentral:rRNA from 1 species
CCUACGGGUCGCUGCAGUGAGGAAUAUUGGUCAAUGGACGAGAGUCUGAACCAGCCAAGUAGCGUGAAGGAUGACUGCCCUAUGGGUUGUAAACUUCUUUUAUAUGGGAAUAAAAUGUUCCACGUGUGGGCUUUUGUAUGUACCAUAUGAAUAAGGAUCGGCUAACUCCGUGCCAGCAGCCGCGGUAAUACGGAGGAUCCGAGCGUUAGCCGGAUUUAUUGGGUUUAAUGGGAGCGUAGGUGGAUUGUUAAGUCAGUUGUGAAAGUUUGCGGCUCAACCGUAAAAUUGCAGUUGAAACUGGCAGUCUUGAGUACAGUAGAGGUGGGCGGAAUUCGAGGUGUAGCGGUGAAAUGCUUAGAUAUCACGAAGAACUCCGAUUGCGAAGGCAGCUCACUGGACUGCAACUGACACUGAGGCUCGAAAGUGUGGGUAUCAAACAGGAUUAGAUACCCUGGUAGUC